rnacentral:lncRNA from 1 species
CGAGACCAAGCCUCAUACUUACCUGGCAGGGGAGAUACCAUGAUCACGAAGGUGGUUUUCCCAGGGCGAGGCUUAUCCAUUGCACUCCGGAUGUGCUGACCCCUGCGAUUUCCCCAAAUGUGGGAAACUCGACUGCAUAAUUUGUGGUAGUGGGGGACUGCGUUCGCGCUCUCCCCUGGCGAUUUGUCAGUUAAUAACAGACUGUUGCUGAGAUGGUGAUUGAAUACGGGGACUGUUGUGUUACUGUAAUAACUCUUUAUUUUGAUUUUGAAGGUUUUUUUGAGAACGGUUUUUGUUCUGCAAAGAUCUUCAUGGAAGGAUCUCUGAGCGUGGGGAAAGAGAAAGAACUUAAUCUCCGUUGUUGCCCAUGGUUUCGAUGUCGUUUCUCCUUACUGCGUAAAACGUCCAGAAAGUGGCCAUUUUUUUCAUAGUGGAACAAAAGAACCGCGGGUUUCAGUAUAGAUUUUAAAAUCCCGAGCAGCGAGCGUACCAGGUUCGCUUGCUGACAAAGGUAAAUGGGUUUGAGAGAGUUUAAAGAUAAUUUUUAAAAUACAAUUUACAGAAAACCUGGGUUUCGUAGCGCACGUUUCUAAUCUCAGCACUGGCAGCCCGAAGCAGUUAGAGGCAUAUUUGGGCUAUGUAACGAGUAUAUCAAACAAAAACCAAUGUAGAGAGAAACACUCAGAAAUUUAAAAUGCGUAUCAAACUAUUUCAGGUAAUUUCCUCUAACAGUAUUUUAAAUUGCAAAAUUGCUACAUGUGAUAUGAGAUGGAAAAUGUAAUACAUUGUACUUUCCAUUUUGAUAUUUAAAUUGUCCUAAAAAUUGAAUAUGAAUGCUAUUAAACCUUUUCCUGCUGUUUAUGCUGCUUUUGAGAAUGGAAGAAAGGAUCCAGGCUGCAGCGAGUGAGAUAUUCUUUACAGGGUUUUGUGUGUAACCACCUGCAGGGUAUAUAUUUUUCUUCGUAGUCCAAAUUUGAAAUCAAAACCGAUCUGCUCAUCUACCUAGCCACAGCUCAAAAACUGCUCAAAGGAUUUCCCAAGAUGAGGUUACAAAUGGUAGCAUUUUCUGAGACUGUGUGUCUAUGUGGUUCAGGCUGGCCUCUAACUGACGGCGAUCCUACUGUCUCAGCCUCCCAAGUGCUGGGAUUAUAGGCCUCUUUUACCACUCGCCCUCAAGUGGCAGUUCUUGCCAUCUUGAUGUUUUGCAAAGAGCCAAGGAUGUGAGUUUUCCUAUCAACCAAAACUAUCCGAG